AAUGAAGCACAAAGUUUAAUACCACUUUACAUUUAGUAUUCUUUGUCUCAUCUUUAGAUGCAAAUUUAUACGAUUAAGUUCUAUAUGAUCUCUCCCUCUGAAAUUUUUUUUCUCCCCCUUAAUUAAUCAUUCCAUUUGAGAGUUUAGAGUUUGAAGAUAAUUUUCAAUAAAGAGAUUGAGUAUUUAAAGCUCCCCCUCAAAAGAUGC
rnacentral:lncRNA from 1 species